rnacentral:rRNA from 1 species
GUAAGCUACUAAGAGCGAACGGUGGAUGCCUUGGCUAGUAGAGGCGAUGAAAGACGUGCCAGGCUGCGAUAAGUCUCGGGGAGCCGUCAAGGGGCUUUGAUCCGGGAAUUUCUGAAUGGGGCAACCCAAUACAUAGCGAUAUGUGUUACCAUUAAUGGAGCCAACGCGGGGAACUGAAACAUCUAAGUACCCGCAGGAAGAGAAAUCAAUAGAGAUUACGCUAGUAGCGGCGAGCGAACGCGUAAGAGGGCAAACCACUAGUUUACUAGUGGGGUUGUAGGACCGCAACAUAGACUAGGAUCUGAUAAUAGAACAAUCUGGAAAGGUUAGGCAUAGAGGGUGAUACUCCCGUAUAUGAAAUCACAUCCUUACUUAGCGGUAUCCUGAGUAGGACGGGACACGUGAAAUCCUGUCUGAAGCCGGGUCGACCACGAUCCAACCCUAAAUACUACUACUAGACCGAUAGUGCACAAGUACCGUGAGGGAAAGGUGAAAAGAACUGAGGUGAUCAGAGUGAAAUAGAACCUGAAACCAUUUGCUUACAAUCAUUCAGAGCCCUAUGAUUUAUCAGGGUGAUGGACUGCCUUUUGCAUAAUGAGCCUGCGAGUUGUGGUGUCUGGCGAGGUUAAGGAAACCCGGAGCCGUAGCGAAAGCGAGUCUUAAUAGGGCAAUUAGUCAGAUGCUGCAGACCCGAAACGAUGUGAUCUAUCCAUGAGCAGGUUGAAGCCGGUGUAAGAGCCGGUGGAGGACCCAACCGACGGCCGUUGAAAAGGCUCCGGAUGACUUGUGGAUAGGGGUGAAAGGCCAAUCAAACAUCGUGAUAGCUGGUUCUCUCCGAAAUAUAUUGAGGUAUAGCGUCGUGUAGUAGUUAUAAGGGGUAGAGCACUGAAUGGGCUAGGGCAUACACCAAUGUACCAAACCCUAUCAAACUCCGAAUACUUAUAGCGUAACCACGGCAGUCAGGCGGCGAGUGAUAAAAUCCGUCGUCGAGAGGGGAACAACCCAGACUAACAGCUAAGGUCCCUAAAUCUCAUUUAAGUGGAAAACGAUGUGGAGUUACUUAAACAACCAGGAGGUUGGCUUAGAAGCAGCCAUCCUUUAAAGAAAGCGUAAUAGCUCACUGGUCUAGUGAUUCUGCGCGGAAAAUAUAACGGGGCUAAAAUGAGUACCGAAGCUUUAGACUUAGUUUUACUAAGUGGUAGGAGAGCGUUGUAUUUGCGUUGAAGGUAUACCGGUAAGGAGUGCUGGAGCGAAUACAAGUGAGCAUGCAGGCAUGAGUAGCGAUAAUUGGGGUGAGAAUCCCCAACGCCGUAAACCCAAGGUUUCCUACGCGAUGCUCGUCAUCGUAGGGUUAGCCGGGUCCUAAGCAAAGUCCGAAAGGGGUAUGCGAUGGAAAAUCGGUUAAUAUUCCGAUACCGAUAUCAGUGUGCGACGGAAGGACGCUUAAAGUUAGUGGAGCUAGCGGAUGGAAGUGCUAGUCUAAGGAAGUAGGUUGAGUUAUAGGCAAAUCCGUAACUCUUUAUCCGAGAUCUGAAAGGCUUCUGACGCUCUUCGGAGUAGAUGAAGAAUCCAUGAUACUAUCGAGCCGAGAAAAGUUUCUAAGUUUAGCUGAUAUCGCCCGUACCGUAAACCGACACAGGUGGGUGGGAUGAGUAUUCUAAGGCGCGUGGAAGAACUCUCUUUAAGGAACUCUGCAAAAUAGCACCGUAUCUUCGGUAUAAGGUGUGCCUAGCUUCGUUAAGAAUUUACUUCGUAAGCGAAGAAGGUUACAACAAAGAGUCCCUCCCGACUGUUUACCAUAAACACAGCACUCUGCUAACUCGUAAGAGGAUGUAUAGGGUGUGACGCCUGCCCGGUGCUCGAAGGUUAAUUGAUGAUGUUAGCUUAUGCAAAGCAUCUGAUCGAAGCCCGAGUAAACGGCGGCCGUAACUAUAACGGUCCUAAGGUAGCGAAAUUCCUUGUCGGUUAAAUACCGACCUGCAUGAAUGGCGUAACGAGAUGGGAGCUGUCUCAAAGAGGGAUCCAGUGAAAUUGUAGUGGAGGUGAAAAUUCCUCCUACCCGCGGCAAGACGGAAAGACCCCGUGGACCUUUACUAUAGCUUGACACUGCUACUUGGAUAAAGAUGCGCAGGAUAGGUGGGAGGCUUUGAGUCGUAGAUCUUGGUUUACGAUGAGCCAUUGUUGAGAUACCACUCUUCUUUAUUCGGGUAGCUAACUAGCCUAAGUUAUCCUUAGGUAGGACAAUGUCUGGUGGGUAGUUUGACUGGGGCGGUCGCCUCCCAAAAUGUAACGGAGGCUUACAAAGGUUGGCUCAAAGCGGUUGGAAAUCGCUUGUAGAGUAUAAAGGCAAAAGCCAGCUUAACUGCGAGACAUACACGUCGAGCAGAGACGAAAGUCGGUCUUAGUGAUCCGGUGGUUCUGUGUGGAAGGGCCAUCGCUCAAAGGAUAAAAGGUACCCCGGGGAUAACAGGCUGAUCUCCCCCAAGAGCUCACAUCGACGGGGAGGUUUGGCACCUCGAUGUCGGCUCAUCGCAUCCUGGGGCUGGAGCAGGUCCCAAGG